rnacentral:rRNA from 1 species
GACGAACGCUGGCGGCGUGCUUAACACAUGCAAGUCGAACGAUGAAGCCGGAGCUUGCUCUGGUGAAUUAGUGGCGAACGGGUGAGUAACACGUGAGUAACCUGCCCUUGACUCUGGGAUAACUGCGGGAAACUGUAGCUAAUACCGGAUACGACCCUCGGAGGCAUCUCCUGGGGGUGGAAAGAAUUUCGGUCAAGGAUGGACUCGCGGCCUAUCAGCUAGUUGGUGAGGUAAAGGCUCACCAAGGCGACGACGGGUAGCCGGCCUGAGAGGGUGACCGGCCACACUGAGACUGAGACGCGGCCGGGACUCCUACGGGAGGCAGCAGUGGGGAAGAUUGCACAAUGGGCGCAAGCCUGAUGCAGCAACGCCGCGUGAGGGAUGACGGCCUUCGGGUUGUAAACCUCUUUUAGCAGGGAAGAAGCGAAAGUGACGGUACCUGCAGAAAAAGCACCGGCUAACUACGUGCCAGCCGCCGCCGUAA